rnacentral:misc_RNA from 1 species
AAACAACUUAAAAGCAGCUAAACACCCAAAGAUGAAACACAUAAAUAUCACAGCGAAUCCUUUGUUCUCCAUUUCAUCUUGACGAUCGCGGAUCUGAUCGACCUUCAAUCUUAGAAUCUUGUUGUCUUCGACUAAUUGGUCCAUUUGUGAGGAGACGGAAGCUUUCCAUGACAAAAGCUCUCCAAUGUCGCUGGCCAAAAUCUCUUUACUGUUCUCGAGAUUCUUUAUUGCAAAUCUGACUUUCUCCAAAAACAAAUCCUUGGCAGCUAGAUCAUCAUCAAAUUCCUUGAAGAUGUUGUUGUAUCUGCUACUCAAUUCCUCCAAGUAUCCUUCCAGAACAGCCGAAUUCUUAUCGAGAUUCUGAACCUUCUG